UCAGUCAAACGUUUCCUCUGGCGUCAUUUUGCUCAGAAUUUACUGAAUAGAUGUGAGUCACCAGAUCCAUCGGUCUUGGCAACGGUUGGCUGUUCCGGGUUCGGAGGCAGCGAUGAGUCACUUGAUUGGUUGAAAUGCGGUUGGGAUCGAAGGCAGAGGCUCCAGUCGCCAUUUUCUGACCGAGAUCGUGAGGAUAACAGAAAGCUUCAUAAAAUUAUGGAUAAAAAUGCAGUGACUUAUGGAACGCGCAGCGCCACCAUGCGCCACGUGGACGCGCACGGAGCCGAGCUAUUUGUGGAUUAUUUACUUAUUUCUUGACAUGUUUUGGACAAAAUAUGAUACUUGCUAGUAUUGUCUGGAUGACUACUCUUGGAUUAUGGCCGGUUUUUGUGGAUUAUUUUCAUCGUUGAUCGGUAAAAGACCAUCGGAAGAUAGUCGAUGAGCACCAGCUGUCGGGGGAAAAGGCUUUGGCUUCAUGGAUUUCCAAUCAGACUGUCGACCCGGUUAGAGUUGGGGAGAGGAACAGCAGACACACAUCACAUCAACACACCUCGGAGGUUUGCGUGAAGCGGAGCGGUUAAAUCCCAGUGUGAUCGUUAAUGUGAGAUAUAUGUGUGUGUUAGAUUCAGCGUCGCUUCUGCAAUUAGCCGAUGUCCAGAAUUUAAACUCGACACCUGUUGUUUGUAAUCAGGAUUUAUUAGCCAAACCUGGAUUUAUUACACCGCUUGGAAGAAAAUGAGCCAAUUUAGGACAACAAGUGACUAAAGUCUUUACAUUUUAAUGUGUAAUUCUGUUUGUUAACAUACAAACAGCACUGAGGCCAACAACAAAACCAAUAAAACAAAUUGAGCAGAAAAACAGAGCAGAAUAUAAACUAGCAGCUAUGAAGCUGGUUAUCAACUGAUGGCAGUGAGCAGAGUUUGUGAUGUUUGCGCUGAAGAACUAUAAUUCUGAACCAAAUGUGAGGAAUUUAAAAUACAAAGCACCAAAACUCUCAGUCAGGAAGCAACAAUCUGCAGACUGUGUGACUGUAGAGUUAAGAUAAAUACAUCUCUGUCUGUUCACUGAAACAACAAAUUAUGUAACGAAUAAAUAAUCAAGUCAUAAUAAUGAAACUGUUUUCAUGAUGUGGAGGAUUAGUCCAGUAAUCUUACAUUCAUUCUUAGACAGUUUUAACCUCAUUCUUUCAACUGUAACCUUGAUGGUUUCAGAAGCACAAAAACAAAAUUAAAAACAAGUAGAUGUACUGCAUUAGUAGGCUGUAAGAUUUUAAUUAGUUUUAGGAUUACGUUGCUCUUCAAAACUCUGAACUUCUCCUCUGACUGUCUGCACACUGCAGAACCGUCAGGAAUGGUGAUGAUGUUUGGUUAGUAGGAGGUGUUUUAAUACCUGUUGAUCUUUAAGAACCUGAUCCAGAGCAGCUCAGUUGUUCAGCAUCAGUUACGAUGGUGAUAUACGAGGUAAGAAGUGGACCACCUCCCUGAAAAGUCCUCGACACCCUGAGUUAAACCAAAGUUAUCUCCAGAACCUCAGGUGAGGGCCUAGUUCAAUUCAAAUCAGAAUUUAGCAGCAUUUUGUUUAAAAAAAACAUUACGAUGGAUGAAGAAUGACUGCAAAUACAAUCGAUGAUGGUUUUCUUCUUGUAACUCUGAUAAAUGCAAAGAGAAAAGUCAUGGAAACAAUUGUGAGACCACCGUUGUUUUCUUCAAUUUCUUGUUAAUUUCAAUUCCUGGUAGCAUUAAAGAUAAAUUACCUGAAGAAUACAAUGAACACCAUAAAAUCUGUGUAUUACCGUGUAAACUAUGACGGAGCACUCAUCUGUUCCUAUGUCAGGAAUUGUCCUCAGACCUCCAAGGACCUUAAAAAUGAGCGGGCACUGUGGAGAAAUAUGACUUUUUUUUUGCAAGGACACUUGGAAACCAACUUCUUGAAGCUGGUCUGAAGUCUCACAGGGCAGGAAGAAGCUCUUCAUCAAGGAAAGGCAGAAGAAAAUUUGGUUACUAUUUACUGGGAUCACAAGGAUUGGACUGUUGAUGAUUGGGCUAAGGUUCUCUUCAGGGAUGAAUCCAGUUUUCACUUGAUGUCGCCUUGAGCCAACUUACUGGUUAGGAGGAAGCCUGGAGAAGCUACAAACCAGGCUGUCUGCCUGUGACCCUUGUGUGAUGUCUUCUAAAAUGACACUUUAGGAGGUGAUCAGGUUUGUGGCAACAGCAGGUUUACUUCACAUCUGCAGUCAUAACCAUAGACUGUAUAUAUAGUGGACGUAGCAUCUGGCUCCAGAAUUGAAGCAAACCCGGAAGUGUCAAAAACUUGCAAUAUCACGCCGUCCGCUAGGGUUGGCUCCAAAAAGCUUUUUCUCCAUAGACCCCAAUUCAUUUUUGGAAAAAAUAAAAUUUGAUAGACUGAUGUUCUACAUUUCAGGAUUUUUUUCCUGUUAGUUUUCAUGGUCAAAAUGAGAGAUCAGGUGGCCGAUCUUAAAAUAAAUCAAUACUGAAUUUUAAAUAACUCGUUAAAGUUGGCGGAGCCAGGGGGCGUGGCUAUACUUGAUGGACAGCAACAGAAGCCUCUGCGGUAAAACGUGGGCGGGAUAAGAGAGUCCUCAGCCAAUCCUGCCUCGAGUUGCUCUCCGGUCCAGCCUGUUUGAUGACGCUUUUUACGUCACUGGCUCCAAAAAAUCCAAAACGGCGACCAGGAAGUAGCAAAAUCCGGGCUUCAUUUUCUCGGCGUUGAAACCAACAGGUGACGUCACGGUUAGUUUAUGCCUGGUCAUAACAAAGCCAAUGGGGUUCACUGAAUCGCCAUCUUGUGGGCAACAGCACGUGCUCUGUCCUGAAAGACGGCAUCGUGUUAGCAAUAGCUAGCUACGCAGUGGAAUUUUACACAGCAAUAAAACACACCAAAAACGUGCAGUCAACUUCAAAAACAAAAACGAUUCCAGGACACACAAUAAAUAACAACAUGAAGUCUGCUAAACUUCUACAUAGUUAUAGACGAAGUUAGCAUUGUUUUGCCCAUGGACAUUCACAGACACAUUACCUCGCCAUAAAUCCUCCGCUGCUCUGAGGAUUACCCAUAAUCCUUUGCUAUGACUGUUACUGCCAGGAACCCUUUCUGACAGCAGGUGGCGUAGUUGUCCGACUUAGCUGGAUUUAACACAACUUUUUUAAACUAUGUUUCAUGCCCAUACAGUAAAACAUGGGGGUGGACCAGUGACCAUCUGGGGUAGUUUCAGUCUGGGUGGAACAGGGAGAAUGAACCAGGUCAUGUACAGGGCUACUCUUGAAAACAAUCUUCUUCCAUCAGCUGGAAAACUCUUUCCUGUCACCAGUGACUGGAUUUUCCAACAAGACUUUGCUUCUUACCACAUGGCAAGGUCAGUUAAAUCCUAGAUGGAGAACCAGAACAUUGGAACCAUGCCUUGGCUGCUCUAUCACCAGAUCUAAAUCCAAUUGAAAUACUGUGGAAAAUCAUCAAAUGCAAAAUGGAGAACCACAAGCCCAAAAACAAACCAAAUCGCUUUUAAUUUGUACAGCAGGAAUGGGCUGCUGUGACAGCAGAACAAUGUCAGAAGCUGGUAGAGAGCAUGCCAAGAUGCAUGGCUGCAGUCAUCAGAAACAAUGGUUAUACAAUGAAGUACUUACUCCUGUGUGGAUCAUGGGACUGAGACAGACAGAAAAGAAAACAUGGAAUAUCUAAAGGUGGUUUUGGCAGAACAAUGCCAUAGCUAUUGAUGGAAAAACUUCAGUGAUUUUGAUUAUUAUGAAAAAAAAGGAAAAUGUCUGAUAUCAGCUCUGAAAUUAAACUCUGAUGAGCUAUUUUUGUUGUUGUCAUUAUAUUUGUCCAAACAAACGUACCUUUAGUGGUACCAGGAAUUAUAAUGAACAAGAAAUUGAAAAAACAAGGGUGGUCUAAUAUAAUAGUUUCCAUGACUGUACGUGUUCUGCCUGCUGCUGUUAUCAAAUUAAAUGAGUAAAAUAAAACAAUCUGACUGACAUGAUGCUCAUCAGGAUAAACUGGUGCGCUGUCACUAAAGUUUACAUCAUUGUUAAAUCAGGUUGAAGUUAUCGUAACCAGACAGAACUGAUCCUCUGGGAUUUCUAAAAGCUGAUUUUGAUGCAUUUUUCUGUGCACAAAUUAAAUUAGAAUUUCUGUGUGCUGAGCCUGAGCUGUUCUUCCUUCAUAUAAACCACGUUUCAUGCAGGUUUCCUCUAUUCGAACACAGUUAAGAACAACAGCACUGAUUCAUCGCUGGACUCAUUAACUCACAGAGCUGCAGUUAAUUAAGACUAAUCAUAGCUCUGAGUGAAGAGAGCUGCUGUUCAUUCAUUGUUUUCCUGCUUCUGUAUCUUCAGCUGACGGUCAGUAGCUGCUGUUCUACACCAGAUUUAUCCAACAAGUCCUCAAAUUCAUACAACCACAUCGGUCAUAUGUAAUGUGCACCGGAAUACGACCCAUGAGAGCGUAUUUACGUUUGCGCCCCUACGGGGAAAAGGAACACAUUACGGGAUUUAAUUCAAGAAAUGGCUUUUCCCUCGCGAAACGGCUUUUUCCUCACUUUCCCAGCACGGGUUUAGGGUUAUGGUUAGGGUGAGGGAAAGGGAUAGGGAUAGUGUUUGAUAAAAGUUUGUUCAUGGUGAUGUUUCACCUGAUUGUCGAUAUUUACUGAACCGCCAGAGGUCGCAUAACGUCAAAACGUAACACUGGGUCAUAAUACGGGCGUGUACAGACGACCUAUGUGGUCGUUUUUGGUUUGAGGACAGGAUGGAUUUAUCAGGUUUUAUUAAAGGUGACUGUGUUUCUACUGAUUAAUCUGACCCCAAGUUUAUUUUACUGAUAAAAUGAUUAAUCUGUACUAUUACGUUUUCUUAAAACAUGCAAAAACAACCCUUUAACUUAAGUUCAUCUUGGCUGUCACUGAAAAAGCAGCUCAGUGAAAUGAAAAGGUCCAGAUAAUAAACUGUCAACAUGAUAAAAUAAGUGACAAACUGAUUAUAAUUUCACUCCUAAAGAAAUCCAAGUUUUCUAUUAAAAAGAUGGUUGAUGUCUCUAUGACUUACAGCAGUGACGUGUGGUGAGGUUCAUGGUUGGUGAGGCACUGACUCCUCAAGAGUCAGAUUUAAGAUUGUAAUAACUGAAAAAAGCAUCUUAUUUCACUAUUCAUGCAACUACUGAUAAUGCUUCAUAUCCCAUCAGCAUUCCUCUUUCAAUUACACUCACAAACCAACAAAAACAUAUACACAGGAACAUAUUUGUCCUAUAAAGACCUUUCUUUUAUAGCUAUUGAUAGCGCACCCAUCUUGUGUUAUAAGCAAUUUAUCCACCGCUUUAUCCUCACUCGGGUCGUGGGGGUGGGGGGUGGGGGGGUGGAGACUCGGGCGAAGGCAGGGGACACCCUGGACAGGUCGCCACCCCUUCGCAGGGCUACAUAUAUGGACAAACAAUCACACUCACAUUCGCACCUAUGGGCAAUUUGGAGUAAUUAACCUCAGCAUACUUUUGGACUGUGGGAGGAAGCCGGAGUGCCCGGAGGAAACCCACGCAUGCACAGGGAGAACAUGCAAACUCCAUGCAGAAAGAUCCCAGGCCCAGGCCGGGAUUUGAACCGGGGAUCUUCUUGCUGCAAGUCGAAAGUGCUAACCACUACCCGACUGUGUAGCCCUUAAGCAAUUCAUAUAUACUGUAAACAAAUUAAAGUACAGAGAUGUGUGCAGACCUACUGGCUUUAGCUUGAUGCCGACUUUGGAUUUCCUCUGUUGAAGCCAGCACUGCAACGAGAAAGCACCUGCCAGCUUGCGUACGCCCCCUUGAGUUGAGGCAGAGUACUGAGUGCCUCACCUGCUGACUUUUCUCUGCACUGGAUCGCAGCGAGCAGCAGGAAUACUUCUCUCACACAUACAUAAAAGACAUUACACAGACUGCAGAAAGUCAUGGUGUAUGACGAAUAUUUCUGUAAAGUUCAUAUUGGCGAUAUGCUGAGGAACAGAAACGGGCACACGUCAUGCAACCCAGUUUGUAUUGGAUCAUGCAGUCAGACGUGAGGCACAGUUCGCCCCUGCCUCAUCCGGGGUUUCUGCCCUAGAUUUGAUCGGAUAAACUCAAAUUCGGCAAUUUUUACUCAAUAAAAUGUCAGAAAUGUGUAGUCAUACUGCAAAUGCAUUUUUAACACAGAUCAGUGGAAAAUAUUAAUAUUUAUUUAUGUACACUUUCUUUUUUCUUUCUUUUUUUUUUCUGUCAUGAUGACAGGUGAGGCUGUGCCUCACCUGCCUCCCCUGACCGCACGUCACUGACUUACAGACUCUUUCAGUGUCUGUAGCUUUAAAUGUGGCCAAGCUGCUGCACAUUUAGUGUCAUUUUGGACGUGUUUCAAGUUUGUUUUAGAUAGUUAUCAGCUUAGUUAAGACAAACCCUUGAAUGGACUGGAUAUAAAUAGUUAAAGAUCUGUAGUCUGUAGAGUUGCCAUUUGCUUCCAGAGUUGGACACUUGGAAAAAUGUUGAUUCCAGGUUUAUUAAGUUUGGUCACAUAAAUAAUAAAAUAUGUUAUUUUAUGAUUCCUGUUGUUCAAACUGUGUAGUUCUGCACAGAAGACAUCUCUGACUUCUCUCUCCUUCUUUAUGGUUGUUCUGUUUCCGUGGAGAUGCAGGACUUCACACUGACAGAUUUAUAUUUAUAUAGACAUUUGUUUUUUCUGCAUCUUUUGUAUCUUUUUCACGUCAUUUUUGCACCUCUUGUUGUGAAGCAUGGAGGUAUGGGAUCCCAAAACCAACCAUUUAUAGUGGCUGACUGGAAUCUCAUAGAAGGGGGUGUUGUAAAGCAUGGAGAUAUGAGAUCCCAGAAUCAGCCACAAAGGGGAGACUCUGACAGAACAACAGCUAAAUAAGGGAACAUUGUGAUAUUAUAACCUGUGAUUUAUGAUCAGAUUAUGCCAUAACCUAAUGAAUGUGUUUGAUCUAAGCAAGUGUCUAUUUUUUACAUUCUUAAUGUUGAAACAGUGUAAAAAUCAGAAGUGUGUCUCACUGUAAAAAGUGAUGGUUUGAUUAUUUUUGAAAGGUUGUCUUGAGAAUCUUUGUUUUAAGAAGUAACCAGGUCAGAACAGCAACUCACUGUGAAAAGUGAUGUUUUUGGUUACCAUAGGAAACUGAUGUUUUUGAUAGAUUUGACAUAAAAGAGGAACUUAUGCUUUAUGAAAUGGUAGUGCCUACAGAUACGGACCCGUACCUGUAGCCUGUGGGCUACGGAUAUGGCACUUUCCAUUUGCCAGACAGAUACGGACCCGUACGCGAGUCUCGCGAGUCAAGAAGCUGCUAACCACUGCAAACUGUUGAAAGGUAAGCAAAGGUUAAGGUUAGGGUCAGGUUAGGGUCAGGUUUAGGGUCUGUACCUGUAGUAUCGAUGCUACGGGUCCGUACCUCCAGCGUCUACCGGGAGUCACGUGACCAGAUCUCGCGUAUCUGAUUGGAAAAUGGAAAGUACGGGUCCGUACCUCUAGCAACUACCUUAUGAAAUGGGAAUGCUUUUAAGAGUUUUGAUUACUAUGAAACUGAGAUGCUUUAGGAAGAGUUUUGACUACUGUUGAAAUAAGAGGGUUUUAACUUUGUAAUGAGGUGAGAAGUCACGAGCAAAGUGAACUAGGGUCAAGUGUUCACCGUAAAGAUUAAACUCAAAAUAGAUUGGGGAUUUUUAUAAGUCUGGAAAAUGGGAGACGGGUGGUCUAGCACAGGGGUCGGCAACCUUUAACACUCAAAGAGCCAUUUCGACCCGUUUCCCACAGAAAAGAAAACACCGGGAGCUGCAAAAUCCUUUUAGCAUUUAAAAUGACGACAACACUGCAUAUAUCGCUUUUUUACCUCUAUGCCCUUGUUAAUCAGUCGUGAUUAAUUAAUUACAAAGCCUCUAAUUAGAUAGAUUCAUUUUUUAAAUUGUGUCCUUCCACUAAUAUUUAUCUUACUUGGUUAAUGUCAUUUUUGCUCCUGGACCUCAUAUGUUACGUAAUGUUAGCUGGAAAUCAAUAUUUUGCGAAUGUCUAUUUAACUUGUAAAGUCUAUUUAUCUAUUUAUCUUAAGCUAAUAACUUUUCUCCGGUAAGUCGCUGCCCUAUUUUCCAAGACGACACUCCUCUGACUCUCUGACCUGCUGCCUGGAUGUGACAUCAAGCGGUGUUCUUGCGAGUAACGUGUAUUACCCUAUCAUGAGUACUUUUGACUCAAAGACAAGACGUGUCUUUCUUGGAGUGGAGCUUUAAUAUACAGGCUUGUCAUUCUUGAGUAAAAAACGACGUGAAACUACAGGCGUUGCUUCUCCAGGACUAAAACAAAAAAAGGCAUGAAACGUGUGUGACUCGGAAGCUCCGUGUUGUCUCUCUACAAGGGGAAAACCCCAGCAGCACAUCUGGUGGAGUGACACGUCAAAAUAAGAGCGGUAAUUUCACAAUAAAACUCUCUAUAUUAAAAUGCAUUGAAACGCGCAUUGAAAGGCAGAGCAAUUUAUUUUCCAAAGUUACAGGGAGCCGCAACAGAGGGCUGAAAGAGCCGCAUGCGGCUCCGGAGCCGCGGGUUGCCGACCCAUGGUCUAGACAGUCCAAGAUAGAUAGUUUCAGUUCCUUAAAAGUGGAGGUGAUCAUGCUGUCGGCGCAUGGUACACGUGUGUGAGUUGGGAGGGGGGGAAGAUGGAGUCAUUGCAUAUGCAUAAGGUUCAGUAAACUAUAGUUACACCUGAUCGAGACGCAGGUUGGAAGUCGUUGGGUGGACGUCGCUUGAUGCAAACCAGGGUAGAAAUGCCCUGAGCAAAGGGGAUUUUAUCACGUAACUCGGACAGGGGAUUCAACAUGAUCUGCAAAGGAAUAACUGUUCUGAUGGAAUUAUGGACCAAAGAACUGCUUUUUCUGCAGUGUUUGAGGAUUACAGAACUGUGAUCUGGAUAUAACACUGACUGAUGGAGUAUUACUGGAAUUUAUUAUUUCCAAAGGAAUUACCCCAGAGUGGAUUACAAAAUUUAUUGGCCUAAACAACAAAAUUGGAUACAUGCGGAUCUAAAUCUGGUCCGGACCCCCGUCCACUUCCCCCUAAACCCCGGCGAGUGUCAAAGGCUUGUCGGGUUUCAGGUGAGCAGUCGACUACGGCCAUAGCCGGCUGCUCUCCCUCCAAAUGAUGUAAUCUAGGUGAUUAUUACUUCUCUUUUAUGAAAGGAUAGUUCCAAUUGAAAGAAUAGGGAUGUUUGAUUAAUUGUCUGAUGAUUAAGAGCUAUUGCUACGCCCUUGCUAAAUUUUAUAAUAAACAUUUUUCCUGCAAUUAAAGUUAACAGAUUGGAAAUUCACUUUAUCCCUAUCACAGUCACUGAUUAUUUAUAUUUUCCCUGGUGGUAAAAAGUCAGGUUAUUGUGUGCAUAACAAUAGUAGAGGUUCUCAAAGGUUACCUAGUCAUGGGGGCCAGGUUGGCCCGGUAUAAACAUAUCCUAGAGGUUUUCUAUAUGUCCAUAACCUCUGAAUCGAACCUAGCAACUUACCAAGUGCAAGAUCCAUGAGAGGAAAAGCUGCCGUUAACAGGCGUGACUGGUGAUUAAAUUUAACUAUACCGAAGUGGCUACUCGGUUAAAUUAAUUAUUGGAGGAAGAAGGGAUAGGCAUCUGGAUGUAGGCAGUGAGAAAGCUAGGCGAAUUUUCCUCGUUUACCAGCUUAACAGUUCUGCAGCAACCCUCUGAGCUAGAUCUCAGGGGGCAGUAGAACCGGACCCAUGAGAUGGAGAGCUGCUCCGGUGAUUCCCUGACAGCUGAAUAAGUUAAUUAGGGGGUCACUGGCCCCGAGGAUCAAUACUCUUUGCUCAUUUUUGUGGAUUUUUUUUGCAGCUUUUGUCUCUUUUUGAUCAUCUAUGCCUGUUAUUUUGGGAUAUUUGUGUCAUUUUUGCAUCCUUUUUGUGUCUUUUUAUGUAAUUUUUUUUGCAUGUUUUUGCAUAAUUUUUGCUUCUUUUUGUGUCAUUAUUAUGUUGGUGUGUCAUUUUAACCAUGCCUUGCUGACAGAAGACAUCUCUGAGUUCUCUCUUCAUUGUUGUUCUGCUGGUGCACAAUUUUAUAUUGCAGUGAAAAAUGAAGAAAUAAUGUGACAAGAGCAAAUUUAAACCCAGAAACUGAUUGAAGUUCAGAAGGUUAGCGCAAUAUUUUAAAAAUGUUACAUCAACAUCGGUAGGUGCAGAUUUUAGGGGCAUUCAGGGAGUAAAUCCACCUCAGUAUCUAGAACACAUACAUUUGAUAAAAGCAUAGUCAAAUUACUCAUAGAUGCAACAACGCAGAUACAGAGACCAACAUCGGAGCAUCAAGCUUCAUUAAAAGCUAAAAAAUGAAGUGUUUGAUGCUUUCAAUUUCAGGAAGUAUCAGUAUUUUCUGCAGAGUUCCUCCCUGGAUUCUCCUUUUUUCCACUGCUGCAGCCUGAACACGAGUCCGUUUGAAGUUCAUGUCAAAUUUAUCACAUUUUCACUCAUUUUGACUGCACUUAAAAUGUGAGCUCAUGUAUUUUUCAGUGCAACGUAUCUGCACACGGUUCAGUCAGCAUGGGUUCCGCAGUUAAAUGAGGCUAACGGCUGGCUGCUUCCUCAUUAACAUUUUCAACAUUUGUUCACUGUUUAGAUUUCCGUUACUGAUCCAUAAAUCUGAUUGAAAUCUGCCAUUGUUGGCAUUACAGCAUGACCUCGAAUGUGAUGGUUAUGAUCAGAGGAUAACACCAUGACACAAGUUCAACACAUCCAGAAUUUAUUUGUGUUCGCUGGAUCAAUAAAAACCUAAAACCAAUAUCAACUUUAUUUGUUCAUCAAGUUUGCUUCAUUGGAUUCUCUUUCUCACAACCUCAAGUAUAAAAAGAAAGCACAAGAAUAUGUAAUAAAAAUGUGAAUUAAAUAUACAGUUAGGACUAACACUUACUAUAUUCAGGUAAAGUUGUGCUUUAUAUAUAUAUAUAUAUAUAUAUUGUAUUUCUGUCAAGGUGAUGAUGAGGAGAGGACCCAGAAACAGACAUGCAAGUAAAAGUAGCAAAGAACAAUUUAGUUAACGAAUACAAAAAAAUAAAGAAGUAUGACACAGGCUGGCAACAACGUGAAAAAGAAAAACUAAAAGUCCAAAGAGAAAAUCAAAAUCCCAAGACACUAGAAUGCCAAAACAACAUUUCCAGAAGGUGCAAAAAACAUAAACACAGGCCAGACAAACAACUAAACUUUAAUAAUCAUAAUCUGAUGAAGAGAAUUACAGGAAACAAAACCUGAAACCAGACAGCAGGACAAACAGACAACGACAGACCACUACUUCUCCAAUCAGAGCUGACUGAGGAGACAUGGCACAGGUGAAAUUAAUCAGAGGAAUCAAAAAAGGAGGGAAACAGAGACAAAGGGAAGAUGUUAAUUAAAGGAGGCACAGAAGGGAAGGGAAUGCCAAAAUAAAACAGGAAAUGCUCAAAACACUUUUAAUCCUUUAUAUUUAAGAAUUAACACCACAAACAACACUGUAGUGUCUUAACGUCACUAUUUAAAAUUGUCAGAUUACUUCACCAGUCUUCAAACUCAAAAGCACUUUUGCUUAAAUGUGCUGAAGAAAUAACAGUGACUUGACUUUAGUUUGGUCAGGAGAAGAAUCGAUGACAGAAAAACACUUCUUACAGUCGAUUGAGAUUCCAAGCUCUGAACAAAACCUCCUCCUGAGCAAGUUAGCUGUACAACAUCAGUUACCAUAGUGAUGUAGCUGUCCAGCGUCAGUUACCAUGGUGAUGUACCUACACUGGAUCAGUUACCAUGGAGAUCUAGCUGGUUAAAAGACAGCAAUUGGAGAUGAAUGAAUGAACUGUUAAUAUGAGUGACAUCAACCUGCAGCAUGAAUAUAGCAAGUCUAAUCAACUUUGAACUCACAAAAUAAACCUUAACAGAGUCAGCCUUUUAUUUAUUGUUAUUUAUUGACUCUGUUUCUUGUCUCACACUGAUGAACUUUAAAGUUUUAUGUAAUUAUAUUUUGUGUAAUUGUUGUUUUGGGGCUGUUUUUUGUAUUCCGGAUGCUUUAACUUGUAACUGUUUGGUGUCCCUACAACAACAUAAAAUAAAAUACAAUAAUAAACACAAAUCUAAUUAAAGUCAGUAUGUUUCCUGUAGAAGAUGAUGAAGAGAUCACAUUUUGUUUAUUGUAGCUACUGAUUCUGAUCUCACACUGUUGGACUGUUAAGGUUUGUGUCUUUUCAAGUUGUUUAAUUAUUGCUCUGUUGUUGAUUUUUGAUAAUGUGAAUUAGCUGCUAGCUAACUGUGGCACUAUGGCUUUUGCCUGUCCCGGCAUAAAUAUACAGUAAAAUAUAUUUUUUUAAAAACACAAGUCCGAGCCGAAUUUGUGUUGUUUUAUGUUAUUUAACUGUUGUUCUGGGGUUGUUUUUUUCUAUUCUGGAUGCUUUAACUUGUAAAUAUACCCUGUACCUGCAAAAAUACACAAUGAAAUAAAAAGCCCAGGCCUGA